rnacentral:lncRNA from 1 species
AUCGACCCAGAGCUCCGUACUUGAUGAGCAUGCCUUCAGGAGUUAAGAGCCAGUCCGUCAUCUGGGAAGGCAGCUGUGGCAGCAAGCACCGUGGACAGUCCUCACCCAGAUGUUGCUUGCAGUUGGCACACGUGCAUCCUCUGGGCUGUG